AUAUCCAAGAGAGGGUCACAUGACUUCGUCAUAUAAGGUGCCAAAUAGGGUCUCGGCAGAGGGAUUAAACAAUUCUGGAUGGUUAGCACUGUGGUGUCGAUGGUUGAGGGUAUAUAAAAAUGUUAUUAUUUUUAAAGGUCUUAUAGAGUCGCGUACGCGUAUGGGAAAAACGAUGGAGCACCCAUGGACGUAUUAUGAGGCUCUUCAUAUAUGA